rnacentral:rRNA from 1 species
CCUACGGGUGGCAGCAGUGAGGAAUAUUGGUCAAUGGGCGGGAGCCUGAACCAGCCAAGUCGCGUGAGGGAAGACGGUCCUAUGGAUUGUAAACCUCUUUUGUCGGGGAGCAAAGAGGCCACGUGUGGUCAAAAGCGAGAGUACCCGAAGAAAAAGCAUCGGCUAACUCCGUGCCAGCAGCCGCGGUAAUACGGAGGAUGCGAGCGUUAUCCGGAUUUAUUGGGUUUAAAGGGUGCGUAGGCGGGACGGUAAGUCCUCGGUAAAAAUGCGGAUCUCAACUCCGUCGAGCCGUUGAAACUGCCGUUCUUGAGUGAGCGAGAAGUAUGCGGAAUGCGUGGUGUAGCGGUGAAAUGCAUAGAUAUCACGCAGAACUCCGAUUGCGAAGGCAGCAUACCGGCGCUCAACUGACGCUGAAGCACGAAGGCGUGGGUAUCGAACAGGAUUAGAUACCCUUGUAGUC